UGUCUGGGAUUUAUUAAUAUGUACUGUGAUGCAUUGUGAUAACAAACGAUGACGAACGCUGUAGUGUGACGUUACGUAAUGCAUCACAAACUUUUAUACUGUUUAGCCAAAAAAUAUAUCGUGCAUGGUAUAAUACUCUUUGACUGUGAAGACAUACUCUGCGGCUGGGAAACUUAGUAGAAAAAAUAUUUCUCUCUCUCCUAAUGUUGUUGUUCCAUUUCGUACGAUCGAUACAUUUGAAGGCUUUCAAGAAAACCUUAACGAAGGUACAAAUAAUUUACGUAGAACUGGAUCUCGAUAUGAAAGGAGGAGAGUGAAUGAAAGCGAAUCCUGGAAGUGUUUGCAAGAUAAUUUAGUAAAGUCGUACAUCGAAAAUUGUGCCAUGUUACCAGGACAAUGCUUUUGUGUAAAAUGCGUAGAAGAUGGGAUACCAGCAAAAAGUGCGUAGAAGAUGGGAUACCAGCAAAAAAAGCAGAAAUUAGAUGUCGCGAUUGUGGUCACGGACAGUUCUACUGUUUUGAGUGUGCGGAAUCCCUUCAUCGAACGAGGAAUGUUUUCCAUUUGGUUGAAGUAUGGAAGACUGAUUGUGAAAUGUUUGUUCCAUUACUUUUUGGUGGUAUAUUACGUGACAGUCAGCAUGCUAACUGCUCUUCAACAGAAUCACAUACUAUAAUAUGUGUGGAUGGAAAAGUGUAUUAAGGAUGCUGAAAAACUAAUUAAACUCCAGAUGUGGCCAGGCUCAUCUUCUAAACCCAAAAUUGCAUUUCACUUUGACUUUAUGGAUUUUGCUGAAAAAUUCUUGCUCGAGAGCCAUGUAUCCUUGCACAAAUUUUGCAGCACUGUUGAAGUUGAAUAUCCUGAAAUGCUACCUAGACUGGUGAAAAACAUAUAUAACAUGUUAAACAAUUGAUCAUUCGAUGAAUACAGAUCUUUCAAACACCAAGUCAGAUCAUUAAAGUUCAUACAGAAAGACCUGAUUGAUUAUAGAAAUUGCCCUCUUUGCCCACAAGUCAGUAUUUGAUUUCUUUUUUUCUACUAUUUGCUUUGUGAACUAUUUUAAAGUAUAUGUUUUUUUGUCACAUAUAUUAUCAGAACAUUUAAAGUUGUUGUGAAAUAUGAAGUGUUACAUGUUUACCAUAAAAUUUACAUGUUUACCAUAAAAUUGUUUACAUGUUUACCAUAAAAUUGGGCUGGCUUCGCCCCUGAGAAAAGUGGGUCUAUGCUUCAUGCAGGUCCAUUGGCCCUGAUACAUACAGUUGUCAGAUAUUUAAAGCAAAAGAAGUUACAGAAGCACUUCACUCCAAAGGAAAAAGUCAACUUUUUGAUGAAAAAGGAGUGUUUGGUAGUUGUUGUAGUCAGCAUUCACACCCUGGACGACUUUUCAGCACUAAAUAUGGGGAAAGAAUUUCGUAUUCGCUGUUCCUAUUCCAAAGCAUUUUAAAAGAUGCUGACCAAAGUCCUAGUGUUGAUUUUAAAAUAAUGUAUGAUAUUGGAUGUGUAUUAUCAUCACAUUUAAAGGCAAACAAGAGGCAUGACAUUUUUUCAAAAGUGUCCUUUUCGGUGCCGAUAUUUCAUUGUUAUGGACACAAGGCUUCAUGCGAGGACAAAUUCUGUCCUAGAAGGCUCGAUGGUUUUGGUCAUACAGAUGGUGAGGCUAUUAAAAAGGCUCUGGGCUUACCUUCGUGGGUUCUCAGCAAUUACUAAGGAGAUGUCUGCCAGUAGAAGAGUAAUCUUUUGACAGACGCGCUUUUUCACUUAUCUCGAAGAAAUUUUAGCAAUGCAGUGACGUACGAUCCUGAAAUUGUUUGUCAGUGGGAGGCCAGAGAGAAGGAAAUUAUGUCAAGAGUCAACCCAGAUACCACGGAGAACUGGAAAGUGACGUACGUUCAAAAGCUACUGCAUUUUAACAACUUAGUGCUACAUCAUUCGGAUGUUUUGAAGAAAACCAGGAGAUAACAAGAAGAUUACUCAAUUCAUCAGAUGUCGAAAAAACUAUACCAUCAUACAAAGAAAACGAAAAGAUACUAUCGGAGCUUUACAUGGACUUUCCUUAGAAAGGGAUUUCUUAAUAACAUUGAGAAAGAAGUAUGCAGAUGGUCAGAAAAUUGCCACUCGCUUGUCAAGGCAAAUCACCAAGGUCACGAACAAGAUGAAAUUAACAAUUAAGAAACACAAUGCUGUCAUUGAUUCUCUUCGUGAUUUUAUAAACAGUUUACAUGAUCGUCUGACAUUUGACAAAACGAAAGAUCCUACAUCAGACCUUAUAUGAGGGAUUUGAGUCUGGUGAGGAUGACAUUCUAGGGGAAGCCUCGGUCCCAGUAUACACAAAGAAGAAGGCUAUUGAAAUGUACUUAAUUCUAAAACGAUGUGACGAGAAAGAGAAACUUUUAAACUUGGAAAGAAAAAGGCUUCUAUUGUAUUACACCAAUCUUAGGUCAAAAAUUGAUAAAGCACUUGCUGAUCUUGGUGAUUUGAGCAGCGAUGAAUUCAUGCUUGGUUAAAACCAUUAACUGAUGGGAUUUAAAACCAAAUUACGGAAGGAGUUGUUCAGCUUGAAGAAAAGUUUUGAACUUCCUCUUGGAGAAUUUUUUCUUCUCCAUGCUGAGAUUGUCAACUUAACCAAUAAUGUCAACAUUCCCAACGAAUCUGAAAACUCAACGUACGAGGAAUCCGAUACUGAAGAUGAAAACAUCGAAGAGUACAGAAGUGGACAUUGACAUUGAAUAGACGACAUAGCUAUUAUUCGUAAACUAAUAGCUACUUUUUAUGUACUUAUUAUGUAAUUUAGUUGUUCACGUAUUUAGUAUAAUAACUGAUAUCACGCAAA